rnacentral:misc_RNA from 1 species
GAAGGUCAAAAUAUUGCAAAUUUCGCAUACAAAACUGAAACCAGAAGAUGAAUGCUUAUUUGCUUAACAAACCUACACAAACAAGAGCUCUGGAAUCAAAUAAAUUUGUACUGGAUAACAAAAAACAGCUAAGAAAUGGGAAAUGUGAAACUGCAGGCUGAUCUCUCGAUGACGUUUCAUGGAAACUAGAGUUCACCGUUGCUUUUGAAUUCUCUUGUCUCGUAUAGGCAACUCGAUUGGCUUCUGCGCGUCAUGAGGAUGAUCUGGACCCUCAUACACCUUAAGAUGGUUAAACAAUUGUCUACCAAGUCUCCCUUUCGGGAGCAUGCCACGGACAGCAUGCUCAAGGAUUCUUUCUGGAAUUCUCUGUUGAAGUUGAUCAAAAGUCUCUACCGUCAUCCCACCAGGUCUUCCCGAGUGCCUCCUGUAAAGCUUUUGGGACCUCUUCUUCCCAGAUACAGCAACCUUUUCAGCAUUAACCACUAUUACAAAUGCACCCAUAUCCACACUUGGAGUGUAUGUAGCCAGAUUCUUCCCUCUGAUAUGUAUUGCAAUAGUUGAUGCCAAUCUUCCAAGAAUUUUAUCGGUGGCAUCAACAAUGUACCAAGGUUUGUCUGUGUUCACAUGGUCUGCACCCUUGGGAUACCAUGUUUCAUUCCAAAUGUCAGGGCCAUUAAUUUCAGACUCUUCAAACAUCCAUCUUUGUUCCAGAGGAACAAGUGCUGUCUUUUCUUGACAAGAAAUUUGAGUAGCUCGAUGGGUCUUAGCAACAACAACGGAGGGCUUUGAAGAGAUGGAGAAACCCAAGAAAAGGGUCUUAUUCUGAGAGGAAGAUAAGGUUUUUGCUGGUGAAUGUGAGGCAAAUAUUACAGAAGAAGAGCAUUGCACAGCCAUGGAAAAUGGC